rnacentral:tRNA from 1 species
GUGCUCAUAGCUCGGUAGGAUAGAGCAACGGCCUUCUAAACCGUGUGUCCGGGGUUCGAAUCCUUGUGGGCACGCCA